AAGCCCCCGCCCCCUCAAAGUCCUUGCAGUAGCAGUUGAACCUAUCUGCUGGGGGCGGAGUCCGGGGCUAUUUUGCGGCGAAAGCAGUGCAUGUUGGGAUAUGUAAGUCACCUUGCCUGGCUUCAAAGUGUCAGCUGUGAGCAGCUAGGAAUAUGUCUAUGUUUUUUGGACGCUCGGUUAAGGACACGUUACAUACGCGUGGAAGGAAAGAUCAUGUGACUGAGCUCUUACAUCUUUUCUUCUACUGAAUGUUGCCACUCCUUGAAUGGCGGAGGAGAUACUUUCUUCCAAUGUCUUGGAAUUAAAGAUUUGGCUGCAUUUAACAAGUGCAAGAUUUUAACACGCUGGGGAGGGAGAAUACUUAAACAAGGUGCUAUACUUCAACUCUCUUUCAACUGGAGGAUGUCAACAAUCCAAGAACUGGAUUAUAAUGACUUCAGGUUUUAACGUGUUCUAAGCCUUUCUCACGGGUAUUUUAGCAUAAAAAAAAAAAAAGCUAUGUCAACAGAAAACGCCGGGGCAUGUUCAAGUGAUUCAUCUCCGUCUAUUCGAGUCAAAAUCUGCACCUGUUUCACAAGGUGGGUUAAUAACCUCCUCCUGUACUUUUCUGUGCCAUCCCGCGACACGUUUGAAUCAACUUUCCGACUGUGAAAUGCCAUUGUUUGUUAUUUGUCAAAUUUUCACCCUUGAGAUGUUUCAUCAAUUCCCAGAAUACAGUUUGCAGUUUGGACACAAUACACAGUUCUGGACACACAUCUCUUGCCCACAUACCACAACUUCAGGGUUAAUAUGAUGACCUCUAGUCUUAAUUAAUAUACAAAUGUAAUAUUUGUGUAUUGCUAAGUGCGUAAAACAUAAGGGGACUAUCGGAAGGCAGCACCCACUCGCCCAAUUCUCACAUGACUUUUACACAAUUGACCACAGGACGCAAACACCAUAACUGUAAAGUUUUAAUUCUUCUGGUGCCAUUAUUGUUUAAUUGAACAUCAUAUAACUCGGUACUAAUUAUUAUAACGAUUGGGCCAACUACUUCCAUGCAUAAAGUCUUUAAGGCAUGUGAACCAAUGGAUAGAGCAAAUGCAGCAUUCUCUCAACCAGCCUUACAGGUAAAUCUGGAUUGCUGCAUUAUAGGACACUAUUGUUUUCAGGAUACUUAGUGCCCGAGGUCAAUCUGUGGAACUGGUAAACUCCUAAAUCAGCCUCCUGUCAAGGUGUAAUUUAAGCAAACCUGUCAACCCACAGACACUCACACCUAUAAUGUAAACCUAAGCAUCCUAUCUCCAUCCUACUACAGCUUUAAUGCUGGGCUUGGUUCAAAGGAUCUGCAGGUAUCUAUGAGACGACAGCGUCAAGAUAUGGAAAUCUGCAGCUACCCAGGAGAAUUCAAUAUCAAGGUCAGAAUACUUGCACCUUCCCAGGACUACAGUAUUAAGGUCAGGAUAUCUGCAGUUGACCAGGAGGCUUCAAUAUCAAGGUGUCAAGGUCUGGAUAUCUACAGCUACUCCAAGAGGCUUCAGUAUCAAGGUCAGGAUAUAUGCAGGUACCUACAAGACGACAGUGUCAAGGUAUGGAAAUCUGCAGCUACCCAGGAGACCUCAAUAUCAAGGUCAGGAUCUAUGCAGGAACUUCUAAGAUGACCGUGUCAAAGUAUGGAAAUCUGCAGCUACCCAGAAGACUUCAAUAUCAAGGUCAGGAUAUCUGCACCUACAUAGGAAACUGGAACAAUUAGGUAGCUGCAGCUACCCAGGAGAAUAGAAUACAGAGGUCUGGAUGUAUGUAGCAAUCAAGUAGACUUUAAUAUUAAGGUCUGGAUAUCUACAGCUACCCCGGAAAUUGAAAUUUGUAGUUGUGAACUAUUCUUCACAUAGAAACGGACCAGUUUUCCUUGUUGGGUUAGAUCUAGUGGGCAGCCUAAAAUGAGCAGAAAUGCCACCGGACAACUGAACGUUCUUCAGGUUUGAUACAACAGUUUUUCUGCCUUCGCAGAAUGCACAGCUAGAUCAUAUUUAAUUUUUUUAAAAGCAAAAUUCAAGUGAGCAGAUUUCCAUUUUAGAUUUGGAAUUUUAAACGGUCCACUAUGCGCCUUGGGAAUGGAAUGUUUCUGGAUGUUUCUGGAUGCAUACGACUAUCUUCGAGGAACUGUGAAUUCUCUAGCUGGCUUAAGAAUUUAUAAUAGAUGUAACAGUGCUUAUCUGAGGUUUAUAUUUCUCCUUUGAUUAUUUAGAAAAACUUCCUCCCAAAAUGUUUUAAUUUUUUGUUAAUUCAGUUUAAGCAAUGUAUGUACCCUCAAGAAUAAACUGUGAAGCUCA